rnacentral:tRNA from 1 species
GUUUUAAUAAUUUAAUAAAAAUAUUGGUCUUGUAAGCCGAAAAUAAGGUCCACUUUUAAAACU